rnacentral:SRP_RNA from 1 species
GCCGGGCGUGGUGGCGCGUGCCUGGAGUCCCAGCUACUCAGGAGGCUGAGGUGGGAGGAUCGCUUGAGCCCAGGAGUUCUGGGCUGUAGUACGCUAUGCCUAUCUGGUGUCCGCACUAUGUUCAGCAUCAAUAUGGUGACCUCCCGGGAGCCAGGAGCCACCAGGUUGCCUAAGGAGGGGUGAACCGGCCCAGGUCGGAAAUGCAGCAGGUCAAAACUCCCGUGCUAAUCAGUAGUGGGAUCAUGCCUGUGAAUAGCCACUGCACUCCAGCCUGGGCAACAUAGCGAGACCCCCAUCUCU